GCAGGUCCUGUCCACCCAGGAAGGACAGGAAGCAAAGCUGGCUUCCUCCCUCCUAGAAGCCAUGUCAAAAGGGAGGGGCAUCUAAGGCGUGGGAGAACCCUGACGUCUAAGUGGCCCGCAUCACAGCGAUCUGAAGAAAACACUUCAAGGCCAUAGAGGCUCAUGACGUUGGUAGUGUUUUGAAGGCGAUAGAGAAAUCAGCUGGGCUCCAGGUAAGAGAAGGCAUUCUAGUCCAAAUCAAAGUUCCCAUGGUUCAGAGACCUGGCCUUAACAACUCACUCUGCUUCCUGGUAGAGAAUAACGGGCCAAUCAGAGGUAGUGGCAUGGGCCAAGUGGGCCAAUAGGGAGCUCCUCCUAGGCUACUCCGUGGUGGUAGAGACUUAGUUGAGCAGGUCUCUGGAGUCCCAGGGCUGUACCUCCUGUGUAUACCCUGGGUCUAUCCUGCAGCAGUUAGGUGGGUGUGAGACAGUCCUGAAUCCACUCACCUUCUGGUUCAGUAGAGCCUGUACCACGUGGUUGGCAACCUGGGGACACAAAGUCCGGGAGCUGAGCUGGCGUUUUGCCCACCCACCCCUGUCCCCAGCCCUGUCCUUCGGCAAACCCCACAGACCUCAUCCAGACAGCGUUCGUAAGUCUCCCGCUGGUUCUCAUUGGCCUGCGCAAGCGCCGAGUUCUCUGCCUGUAGGGUGAGGUGGAAAGGGGAAUCAUUGAGGCUCAUUUGUACCCUGGGAGCGAGGGUGGCAGAGUGGACAGGCUUUGCCCUGUCCAUCAAACUCCUGGACCAGGGUUAUCUGACCGUUUUACCUAGUAGCCUCUAUGGAUAUCACUGUCCUUGGAACCAGUAGGGUCGUAAAGGUGGGGUGGGGGUGGGGAAGAGACACUCGUGGCAUAGGACAGCUACGUACUCUUCACUGUCGCCCGAGCUGGAGAGUGAAGAGGAACCGGGGCUUCCCAGGGGAGCUUUAAUAAAGAACCAACCGUCCAGCCCUCUCCUGCCUGGCAAGCCUUCUCCACACUGAGCUCAGCGGUGGGCAGCCCUGACUCCCCAUGCCCCGCCCUGCCCUGCCUGCCACCGCGUACCUCCAGCUCCCGAAGUCGGUGCAGAAGCUCCUGGCAGGUGCUGAGCUCCAUGCUGUCGUCCUCACCAGCCGAUGCCCUCAGCUUUCCGGUGCCUCCGGCCGGCUGGUCCAUGACCUUGGGAGUCAGGCUCUGGGAAUGAGGCCUGGCAGGCUACUCCCAGGCAGACCAGGAACAGGCAAGGAGAGAAGGCAGGAGGAGGGUGACAAAACUCUCUAGUGACCUCUGCUAUACUGGUGAUAAUGCAACAGCUCAAGGUUAGGCUGGGUGACUCUUGUUUAUUCUUCCCAUCCUGAGGCCGAGACUGUGCCUAUAGGAACCCCAGCGCUCACACACACCCUGCAUGGGGGCCUAGAGCCCGAAUUUUUUACUGGUCAACCAGCUGCCCUGUGACUCAACGUCCCUGUUUAGAAAGUAACACCAACUUCAACUAAUGUCACUCACUGUUGACACGUAAAACUUAAGUCUGCCAAGGGAUAUUUGUUUAUUUAUUUAUACAAGACAGGGUUCCACUGUGUAACAAGUCCUGGCUGUCCUGGACUCACUCUGUAGACCAGUCUGGCCUUGAAUUCACAGAGAUCCCUCUACCUCCGUCUCCUGAGGACUGAAAGUGUGCAGCAACCACGCCAGGCACCAAGGGUAUUUGAAAAGUAAAGAUGGGCUCAACCUACGGCUCAGCAGGACACACACUGAAGACCAGAGACUAUUCUACCCUGAACACACAGGAGCACAGCAGGGCUCUGACUGGCACUGCGCUGUGCCUUUCCUAUCAACGAGGCUCCUGCCGUUGCUGUUGGCUUGAAAUGACAAGUCUUCAUCUUUCAUCUGAGACCCUUUGUGUUACGUAUGUCUCAGCUUGAAUCUGAAAUGUCCCCCACGAGCUCAUCUUCCACCCCCACCCUGCCCUUUCUCCCAUUGCUCUGGCCUGCUUGCUCUGGGCCCUGCUUG
rnacentral:lncRNA from 1 species